UACGAAGGGGGCUAGCGUUGUUCGGAUUUACUGGGCGUAAAGCGCACGUAGGCGGAUCGUUAAGUCGGGGGGUGAAAUCCUGGAGCUCAACUCCAGAACUGCCUUUGAUACUGGGGGAUCUCGAGUCCGGGAGAGGUGAGUGGAACUCCGAGUGUAGAGGUGAAAUUCGUAGAUAUUCGGAAGAACACCAGUGGCGAAGGCGGCUCACUGGUCCGGUACUGACGCUGAGGAACGAAAGCCAGGGGAGCAAACGGGG
rnacentral:rRNA from 1 species